GAAGGCCUUCGGGUUGUAAAGUGCUGUCGUGCGGGAAGAAAGGUCCAUCGGCAAACAGUCGAUAGACUGUGACGGUACCGCAAAAGGAAGCUCCGGCCAACUCCGUGCCAGCAGCCGCGGUAAUACGGGGGGAGCAAACGUUGCUCGGAAUUACUGGGCGUAAAGGGCGCGCAGGCGGCCUCGUAAGUGGGAUGUGAAAGGUCCUGGCUUAACCAGGGACGUGCGUCCCAUACUGCGGGGCUUGAGUGCAGGAGAGGAUGGGGGAAUUCCCGGUGUAGCGGUGAAAUGCAUUGAUAUCGGGAGGAACACCAGUGGCGAAGGCGCCCAUCUGGACUGCUACUGACGCUGAGGCGCGAAAGCUGGGGGAGCAAACAGGAUUAGAUACCCUGGUAGUCCCAGCCGUAAACGGUGAGCACUAGGUGUGGGAGGCAUCGACCCCUUCCGUGCCGCAGCUAACGCAUUAAGUUGCUCCGCCUGGGGAGUACGACCGCAAGGUU
rnacentral:rRNA from 1 species